rnacentral:rRNA from 1 species
GACAGAGGGUGCAAACGUUGUUCGGAAUUACUGGGCGUAAAGCGUGUGUAGGCGGCCAUGUAAGUCGGGUGUGAAAGCCCCGGGCUUAACCCGGGAAGUGCACUCGAUACUGCGUGGCUAGAGUAUCGGAGAGGUUGGUGGAAUUCCCAGUGUAGAGGUGAAAUUCGUAGAUAUUGGGAAGAACACCGGUGGCGAAGGCGGCUCACUGGCUCGUAACUGACGCUCAUGCACGACAGCGUGGGGAUCAAACAGG